rnacentral:rRNA from 1 species
GGAGCCAUUGCUAUCGGAGUCCGAUUUAGCCAUGCUAGUUGCACGAGUUCAGACUCGUAGCAUAUAGCUCAGUAACACGUGGCCAAACUACCCUACAGACCGCGAUAACCUCGGGAAACUGAGGCCAAUAGCGGAUACAACUCUCAUGCUGGAGUGCCGAGAGUUAGAAACGUUCCGGCGCUGUAGGAUGUGGCUGCGGCCGAUUAGGUAGAUGGUGGGGUAACGGCCCACCAUGCCGAUAAUCGGUACAGGUUGUGAGAGCAAGAGCCUGGAGACGGUAUCUGAGACAAGAUACCGGGCCCUACGGGGCGCAGCAGGCGCGAAACCUUUACACUGCACGACAGUGCGAUAGGGGGACUCCGAGUGUGAGGGCAUAUAGCCCUCGCUUUUCUGUACCGUAAGGUGGUACAGGAACAAGGACUGGGCAAGACCGGUGCCAGCCGCCGCGGUAAUACCGGCAGUCCGAGUGAUGGCCGAUAUUAUUGGGCCUAAAGCGUCCGUAGCUUGCUGUGUAAGUCCAUUGGGAAAUCGACCAGCUCAACUGGUCGGCGUCCGGUGGAAACUACACAGCUUGGGGCCGAGAGACUCAACGGGUACGUCCGGGGUAGGAGUGAAAUCCUGUAAUCCUGGACGGACCACCAAUGGGGAAACCACGUUGAGAGACCGGACCCGACAGUGAGGGACGAAAGCCAGGGUCUCGAACCGGAUUAGAUACCCGGGUAGUCCUGGCUGUAAACAAUGCUCGCUAGGUAUGUCACGCGCCAUGAGCACGUGAUGUGCCGUAGUGGAGACGAUAAGCGAGCCGCCUGGGAAGUACGUCCGCAAGGAUGAAACUUAAAGGAAUUGGCGGGGGAGCACCACAACCGGAGGAGCCUGCGGUUUAUUGAUUUACCCCCCCCGAGAGAA